rnacentral:siRNA from 1 species
CCCACCGCUGCCUGACUCGUC